rnacentral:rRNA from 1 species
UACGUAGGCAGCGAGCGUUGUUCGGAGUUACUGGGCGUAAAGCGUGCGUAGGCGGUUGUCUAAGUUUGGUGUGAAAUCUCCUGGCUUAACUGGGAGGGUGCGCCGAAAACUGGGUGACUGGAGUGUCGGAGAGGUAAGCGGAAUUCCUGGUGUAGCGGUGGAAUGCGCAGAUAUCAGGAGGAACACCAACGGCGAAGGCAGCUCGCUGGGACGGUACUGACACUGAGGCGCGAAAGCGUGGGGAGCGAACAGG